rnacentral:rRNA from 1 species
AUUGAACGCUGGCGGCAGGCCUAACACAUGCAAGUCGAACGCGUGGCGGCCGGGUGAGUAAUGUCUGGGAAACUGCCCGUUGGCGGGGGAUAACUACUGGCAACGGUAGCUAAUACCGCAUACCAUCGGAUGUGCCCAGAUGGCAUUAGCUAGUAGGUGGGGUAACGGCUCACGUAGGCGACGAUCCCUAGCUGGUCUGAGAGGAUGACCAGCAACACGGGAACUGAGACACGGUCCAGACUCCUACGGGAGGCAGCAGUGGGGAAUAUUGGACAAUGGGCGAAAGCCUGAGGCAGCCAUGCCGCGUGUAUGAAGAAGGCCUUCGGGUUGUAAAGUACUUUCAGCGAGGAGGCGUUACUCGCAGAAGAAGCACCGGCUAACUCCGUGCCAGCAGCCGCGGUAAUAC